GCGCCCAUAGCUCAAUUGGACAGAGCGUCUGGCUACGGACCAGAAGGUUGGGGGUUCAAGUCCUCCUGGGCGUA
rnacentral:tRNA from 1 species